rnacentral:rRNA from 1 species
UACGGAGGGAGCUAGCGUUGUUCGGAAUUACUGGGCGUAAAGCGCGCGUAGGCGGCUAUUUAAGUCAGAGGUGAAAGCCUGGAGCUCAACUCCAGAACUGCCUUUGAGACUGGGUAGCUAGAAUCCAGGAGAGGUGAGUGGAAUUCCGAGUGUAGAGGUGAAAUUCGUAGAUAUUCGGAAGAACACCAGUGGCGAAGGCGGCUCACUGGACUGGUAUUGACGCUGAGGUGCGAAAGCGUGGGGAGCAAAC